rfam:Schistosoma haematobium scaffold756_15, whole genome shotgun sequence.
AUCCAGCUGACUAGUCCGAAAUAGAACGAAACGCGCAUCCUGGAU